rnacentral:rRNA from 1 species
ACUGACAGCCAUGGUUACCGCGGCUGCUGGCACGGAGUUAGCCGGUGCUUCUUCUGUGAGUGAUGUCCUUCCUGCCGGUUAUUGACCCGCAGGCCUUCUUCCUCACUGAAAGUGCUUUACAACCCGAAGGCCUUCUUCACACACGCGGCAUGGCUGGAUCAGGGUUGCCCCCAUUGUCCAAUAUUCCCCACUGCUGCCUCCCGUAGGAGUCUGGGCCGUGUCUCAGUCCCAGUGUGGCUGAUCAUCCUCUCAGACCAGCUACGGAUCGUCGCCUUGGUGAGCCGUUACCUCACCAACCAGCUAAUCCGACAUAGGCUCAUCCGAUAGCGCGAGGCCCGAAGGUCCCCCGCUUUCCCCCGUAGGGCGUAUGCGGUAUUAGCCUGGGUUUCCCCAGGUUAUCCCCCACUACCGGGCAGAUUCCUAUGCAUUACUCACCCGUCCGCCGCUCGCCACCAGGGAGCAAGCUCCCCGUGCUGCCGCUCGACUUGAAUGUGUUAGGCCUGCCGCCAGCGUUCAAUCU